GAUCUCGUCCUUUCCGAGGUCCUCUGCCGCGUGUUUGGAAGUUAUGGCCGCGCGGGUCUGUGGUGUUCUCCCUGAAAGGCCUAAGCUUUGGGUGAUGGCAUUGCCUUUUGGCACUCGGGAGACAAGAUGCAGGUUCCGUCUCAGAAGUAAUGGCUGGAUCCCUGAAAGCCAACGGGCUCGGUGUGGUCCACCCGUCAGAAGGCAUAGGUAGAUGGUGGGCAUCUGCCUCAGACAUAGUUCUCAAGUUCAGCCAGAAGAAUGCGCGUUGAGCCCUCUGCAGCCCGUGUCGACGGAGGUGUUGUCUCCAGGAAGCAUCAUGGAAAGGCGUGGUGGUGCACAAGGGCCUUCAGGAUGCCUGCGCCUGGUGACGGCUGCGCCUCAGGUUCUGGGCCUGACUCGGAAGGGUGCCUGUGAGCAGAAGAGCUGGCACGCGCAGCUCAGUGGACCAUCAGUGCCAACCCGUCCUGUACCCUGGCUGAGGGGUGUGCUAAGUGGCAGAUUCCCGGUUGGCUCAUCGUAAGGCGUGGCACAAAAUCACCAUCGAAAGAAAGGGCCUUCGGGAUGCCUCUAUCUGGUAAGAGCUUCACAGAAUUGCAGGGGUUGUGGUUGCUGGGAAGGGUUAGUCUGUUAGAUCAGGUGCUGCAGAAUCGAGUGUAACCCUUCCUCCCUUUAGUCUUACUGUGUAGCCCGUGCUGGCCUGCAACUUGCUAUGUAGACCUGGUUGACCUCAAACUCAGUUUGUGGCCUUUCAGGUGCUGGGAUUUUCAUGUUCUCAUUUUGUGUUCCCGAAAAGCCCAUAAGCCUAUGAUGGAUUGGUUAUCCCUGUCUGAAGAUUUCAGCUGAGGGAAAAUACUCUAUUCUGAGGCUUAGGGGUGUGGCUCCAUGCUUGAAGAAAUUUGAGCUUUAUAAGGGAUCAAGUUAAAUAGACUCCAUAGAGAGCUGUGUGCCAACCUCCCAAAACCUAAGGUCUAGUUGCCUGUUAAUCCUCCUCCUUGGGUGCUCUGAGGGCAAAGUCCCUGAGUUAGCAGAAAUGGGCGGGCUGCCAGCACCUGUCCUGUGCUCACUGGAGUGAGACAUGCUGGUCACAUAGUUCUAGAAAAUGAAUGUCUUCCUUUAGAGGAGGCAGGGAUGUAAGGCGUGCCAUGAGAAUGCUUGACGACUCUGUCGUUGCCUCUAGCGGUGCUGACAUUUAGAAAAGAAGUUGUGGCCCUGGCAGCCUCCUAAGUAUCGUCUCCUUGAUGGCACAGAAACAAGUGGCGGGCUUGGGGGGGGGGGGGCUUUGCUCAGCCCAGCCUUAGUAAUGCAGUGUACACUGUGUCCUUUUUCUCUAUGGAAUCUGGGGGGUGGAUAUGGGCUUACACUAAAGUAGCUGUACUUGUGGAAUUCUCUGCAGGGUGGCUCUGCUUGCCUUCACUUCUGAGUGGACUCAGGUUCAGGUCCUCAGGGAUUUGGUUGAAUAUAAAUACUCUGAUGUUUCAUGAGAAACCUUUUUUUGGCCACUUACCAGGAACUUCUUAAAACUUUCUUUUAAAAAAAAAGUUAGCAGCCUGCUUCUGAACUUGGCUGGUGCCUGCCUGUGUGUAGCGCACACAGUGCCUUGUGAUGGCGGCUGGAAUCCCAGGACUAUCUGAUAAUGCUUGUUCCUAAAGUUUGUAGUUUUGAUCACUUAGCUGCCUGUCUCCUUCAGGUUCUUUCCUUGUUUCUAGGUUAUUGCCCUGUAGUGCCAGAGAGAACCACAUAGCCUGCUGCUGCUCCUGCCUUUAAUUUCCCAAAGAGUCAUCAGACGACCUUGGAGUUUGUUCUGCAAGAGGAGCCAGUAAGGCCUCGUGACUGUGGUCACCCUCGGAAGCCUUUGACAGCUAGCUGGUGAGGGCGCUCAGUCGGAGGCCCUGGGGAGGCCCCUGCUAAGCCGAGAAAAGCAUUUCUCACAGUGGAUUUCCUGGAAGUCAGGGUUGGCCUUUGUAUUUUGAAGCACAAAUAAACUUUAUAAAAUUUAAAAAAAAAAAAAAAAAAA
rnacentral:lncRNA from 1 species